GCCGGAGUGGCGGAAUUGGCAGACGCGCGGGAUUCAAAAUCCCGUCUGGGCAACCAGGUGUGGGUUCAAGUCCCUCCUCCGGCA
rnacentral:tRNA from 1 species